CUAUCAAACUUUACUUUAGUUUAACUGGGGCAGUUAAUUAAUAAAAAUUUUAAUAAAGAUUAAGUACUAAAUAGANNNCCCAACANUAGUUGAUUACANUGAACAAGUUACUGUAGGGAUAACAGCGUAAUAUAUAUCUAAAGUUCUUAUUUUGAUAUAAGUUUGCGACCUCGAUGUUGAAUUNAUAUUACUUUCAAGCGCAAGAGCCUGAAAAGUGGGUCUGUUCGACCCCUAAAUAUAUACAUGAUUUGAGUUCAAAUCGGUGUAAACCAGAUUGGUUUCUAUCUAUUNUUAUUUGUGUCUUAGUACGAAAGGACCUGAAACAAUAUUAUAUAAUNAUUUAUAUGGCAGAAAAAUGCUUUAGAUUUAGGAUCUAAUUAUAAUAGAUUAUUAUACUCUAUUUAACUUGCCUAAUCUCUGUUAUUAGAAUCCUUAUCGCAGUAGCUUUUUAUACCCUCCUAGAACGAAAAAUUCU
rnacentral:rRNA from 1 species